AUUGAACGCUGGCGGCAUGCCUUACACAUGCAAGUCGAACGGUAACAGGUCUUCGGAUGCUGACGAGUGGCGAACGGGCGAGUAAUACAUCGGACCGUGCCUAGUAGUGGGGGAUAACUACUCGAAAGAGUGGCUAAUACCGCAUGAGAUCUACGGAUGAAAGCAGGGGAUCGCAAGACCUUGUGCUACUAGAGCGGCCGAUGGCAGAUUAGGUAGUUGGUGGGAUAAAAGCUUACCAAGCCAACGAUCUGUAGCUGGUCUGAGAGGACGAGCAGCCACACUGGGACUGAGACACGGCCCAGACUCCUACGGGAGGCAGCAGUGGGGAAUUUUGGACAAUGGGCGAAAGCCUGAUCCAGCAAUGCCGCGUGCAGGAUGAAGGCCUUCGGGUUGUAAACUACUUUUGUACGGAACGAAAAGCCCCGGGUUAAUACCCUGGGGUCAUGACGGUACCGUAAGAAUAAGCACCGGCUAACUACGUGCCAGCAGCCGCCGUAA
rnacentral:rRNA from 1 species